rnacentral:rRNA from 1 species
CUCGUAGGCGGCUUGUCGCGUCGACUGUGAAAACCCGCGGCUCAACCGUGUGGUCUGCAGUCGAUACGGGCAGGCUAGAGUUCGGUAGGGGAGACUGGAAUUCCUGGUGUAGCGGUGAAAUGCGCAGAUAUCAGGAGGAACACCGGUGGCGAAGGCGGGUCUCUGGGCCGAUACUGACGCUGAGGAGCGAAAGCGUGGGGAGCGAACAGGAUUAGAUACCCUGGUAGUCCACGCUGUAAACGUUGGGCGCUAGGUGUGGGGGGCCUCUCCGGUUCUCUGUGCCGCAGCUAACGCAUUAAGCGCCCCGCCUGGGGAGUACGGCCGCAAGGCUAAA